rnacentral:rRNA from 1 species
UGAGGAAUAUUGGUCAAUGGGCGCAAGCCUGAACCAGCCAUCCCGCGUGAAGGAAGAAGGCCCUACGGGUUGUAAACUUCUUUUCUGUUUGAAGAAUAAGCUUGUCGAGACAAGUGAUGCCGGUAGGACAGGAAUAAGCAUCGGCUAACUCCGUGCCAGCAGCCGCGGUAAUACGGAGGAUGCAAGCGUUAUCCGGAUUUAUUGGGUUUAAAGGGUGCGCAGGUGGUUGAAUAAGUCAGUGGUGAAAGUCUGGCGCUUAACGUUAGGAUUGCCAUUGAUACUGUUUGACUUGAAUAUGGAUGAGGUAGGCGGAAUGUGUAGUGUAGCGGUGAAAUGCUUAGAUAUUACACAGAACACCGAUUGCGAAGGCAGCUUACUAAUCCAUUAUUGACGCUGAGGCACGAAAGCGUGGGGAUCAAACAG